rnacentral:sRNA from 1 species
UUUCAUAGUAAUUUUAUUCAUGAAUAUGGUCACUUAAACUUCAUUUCACCUUUGCCCAAGAAGAAUUUUGCUUCAGUUUAUUUAUUUAACACAAAAGAGAAUGUCUGGCUUAUUAUGCUUCAGAUGAUUGACACAUCUCUUGUUUGGAUCCAGAAAAUGUUAUUUAAAAUUGCAGAAGGGUACUAGGAGCUUGUGAAACUUCAUUCUUAUAACAGUAAAGAAGCUUGUGUUUAACUAUUCAUUUUAAUUGUAAUCUUUAAGACUUCAUAGCUUUUUUUCUUUCUUGAAAAGCAUUGCUGUUAAUAUAGGCAUUUUAAACUGUUUUAUUUAGACAAAUUGUUGUCUUAAAAUUGUAUGUACACAGUUGCUCCUAUUGCGUUUCAAAGAUUAAAGUCAAAAUAUGGCUUUACAUGUUUACAUCUUGCAAAAUUACUCCUUCAAGAGGCUUUAAAAUACCAAAUAUGAAAUACAAAUUUGUGCACGAUAGUGUGGUUAGAAUUUUAACAUACAUCAAAAGAAAUCCUUCCAGAGAGGUCAUGAGUUCAACUUUUAUAUGUUCCUGUUUAAGUUAUAGGUGCACUAUGUAAAAUGUCCCCCUUUUUGAAAAAAGUUAAGAACCUAGAAACUGAAUAGCACGAAAAACUCUUUGUGGGACUCAAUAAUUCAUCUGGAAAGGGCUUUGUGUCUGUCUUUCAUGUUUAUCACUGUUUUUAGCUUUCUUGGAGGUGGGAAGAGCUUAUAGUUAAGGGCCCAUUAUCAGGGAAAAGGAUGCAGGAAGUCCAAAAUAUUUAUAUUUGUUCGUGGCACAUGGACAGAAGAUGGUUCUCAGGAAAAGGGCUUUCUGAUUGAUUGAAGACAUGCUGGCGUAUUUUAAUAGCUUCUUCUGUCCAAGAGAUAGCAUCAUCUUUGUCCUUAUCGCUGCUCUGAAACUUACUUUAAACAUUCUCCCAUGCUCCUCCAAUUAGAUGCUUCACUCUCUUGGCUUCCUGUGUCCUCGCUGCAACUCAUCUCAUUUGUUUGCAUUCUCAUCUUUGUCAGCAGGUUGGGUGAAGAAGAGGCAUAUAACAGAUAAUUGAAGGGACAUGCUUUGCAGCUUCAAAUUCAUCUGCAUGGCAUCCAGCCACAGCCACACGGUGAUGGCGAUAAAAUGUGGAUGUGGGAAACAUCAGCUUCCACUUUGCAAAAGCUUAAGAGCCGGCAAUUGAUUGAAUGGAAUGAGAAGAUGAAGAGAAUUAGAAGUGAUAUUCCUAAGGUGUUCUGCAGACCAACACACCAGACAGAAGACAUGGAUUAAGGUUCAAGGUCAACUCAAUUUCGAGAAGGAAUGUGCAUCUCAGGGCUACUGAGCAGAGCCUUCAAUGCCAAUUUAAUGCAAGUACUCUUCAUCCCGGAACACUAGAAGGCCAGACAUAAAGCUUUGACUUCAAGCCACACACAAAACAUGUGAUUCCAUAUGGGCUUUUGCUGCAUGGUAGCUGUUGAAGGCUUACGUGUGCCAGUUAAAGACAGCUUGAAGGUAACCACUUGAAAGUCAGCAUCAAACAAAG